rnacentral:rRNA from 1 species
UACGGAGGGUGCAAGCGUUAUCCGGAUUCACUGGGUUUAAAGGGUGCGUAGGCGGGUAUAUAAGUCAGUGGUGAAAGCUCCGAGCUUAACUUGGAAACUGCCAUUGAUACUGUAUAUCUUGAAUGUCGUUGAGGUUAGCGGAAUGUUGCAUGUAGCGGUGAGAUGCUUAGAUAUGUUACAGAACACCAAUUGUGAAGACAGCUAACUAAGCGAUGAUUGACGCUGAGGCACGAAAGCGUGGGGAGCAAACAGG